AGCCGCCGCGGUAACACCGGCGGCCCGAGUGGUGAUCGUGAUUAUUGGGUCUAAAGGGUCCGUAGCCGGUUUGGUCAGUCCUCCGGGAAAUCUGAUAGCUCAACUAUUAGGCUUUCGGGGGAUACUGCCAGACUUGGAACCGGGAGAGGUAAGAGGUACUACAGGGGUAGGAGUGAAAUCUUGUAAUCCCUGUGGGACCACCUGUGGCGAAGGCGUCUUACCAGAACGGGUUCGACGGUGAGGGACGAAAGCUGGGGGCACGAACCGGAUUAGAUACCCGGGUAGUCCCAGCCGUAAACGAUGCUCGCUAGGUGUCAGGCAUGGCGCGACCGUGUCUGGUGCCGCAGGGAAGCCGUGAAGCGAGCCACCUGGGAAGUACGGCCGCAAGGCUGAAACUUAAAGGAAUUGGCGGGGGAGCACAACAAACCGGGUGGAGCCUGCGGUUUAAUUGGACUCAACGCCGGACAACUCACCGGGGCGACAGCAAUAUGUAGGCCAAGCUGAAGACUUUGCCUGAAUCGCUGAGGGGAGGUGCAUGG
rnacentral:rRNA from 1 species